rnacentral:rRNA from 1 species
GACGAACGCUGGCGGCGUGCUUAACACAUGCAAGUCGAACGGAAAGGCCCUGCUUUUGUGGGGUGCUCGAGUGGCGAACGGGUGAGUAACACGUGAGUAACCUGCCCUUGACUUUGGGAUAACUUCAGGAAACUGGGGCUAAUACCGGAUAGGAGCUCCUGCUGCAUGGUGGGGGUUGGAAAGUUUCGGCGGUUGGGGAUGGACUCGCGGCUUAUCAGCUUGUUGGUGGGGUAGUGGCUUACCAAGGCUUUGACGGGUAGCCGGCCUGAGAGGGUGACCGGCCACAUUGGGACUGAGGUACGGCCCAGACUCCUACGGGAGACAGCAGUGGGGAAUAUUGCACAAUGGGCGGAAGCCUGAUGCAGCAACGCCGCGUGCGGGAUGACGGCCUUCGGGUUGUAAACCGCUUUCGCCUGUGACGAAGCGUGAGUGACGGUAAUGGGUAAAGAAGCACCGGCUAACUACGUG